CAUGCCUUCCAUUACAGCAAUGCCGCAGCGACGUUCAGGCUGACGUAGCUUUAAUGUAUAAAAAGAAACAAGACCUUCAGUGGUAGGCGCCUAUUUCUGGCCGAUAAGUCUUUGCACUCGGAGCCCAAAAUGUCUGCUUUCAAGAAUGUGGCAUUUGUUCUUCUCUCGAUGACUAUCAUGUGGGGGAUUGAGUGCAUGGAAAUCCUUGAUGAAUGGUCAUGCACGCCGUGCUCAUGCGUUUGGACAGGCCAUACAUGGCGGUGGUCUUCAUGGUAGAGAAAAUCUACGCAACAUAGAUAACGGCGGACUUACUCCACCCACGAUAGAUAAUGAUGGGCUGACUCCUCCUCCCAACAUAGAUGACGGCGGACUUCCAUCCUGCGGGCAACCGUGCCACUAUGAAGACGGUUUACAAGAUCAGCAAUGCCCUGGUGGCUGCAUUUGUACUGUCAACCCACAAGGUAGAACCAGUGAUGGAACAACUGCAACGGGUAUCUGCGCCGUAGAGCCUUAACAUUGCUUUUGCGUGCUUCUGGAAAUAUUCGAAUAGACGUUUCAGUAACA